rnacentral:tRNA from 1 species
GCGCUCGUAGCUCAGAUGGAUAGAGCAUCUGGCUUCGAACCAGAGGGCCGCAGGUUCGAGUCCUGCCGAGCGCACCA